rnacentral:lncRNA from 1 species
AAGCAAUAGAUGGUUGGCAGAGAAGCUGAAACGACUCGACCUCUACCAGGGUAAUGAAAGCAAGUCGGGCCACUAUUCUGACUGAUCACUUGGCAGUGGGGUGGAGGGGUAUGGAGAUGGGAGAAUCCCUGGAUGAAGAUCGGAAGGAGCGUGGAGAUGUCCCGCCACUGGUGACGCGGGGGGAUUUCGGAGCAUAGUCCCCGCACUCUUUCACGACCCCCGACCCCUGAUCCCCGGAUUAGGACGGCAAGGGAGUGCGGCGAUCAAGGCUGGGAGACCGCGGAGAGAAGGCGCGCGGUACCUGCUUGUCCAGCGCGUCUCGGACGCCUCCCUGCCCGGCGCCGGCCCUGGGUGGCGCGGGCGUUCGUUCGCAGCUGCAGCCCUCCAGGAGGUACAUGCCCGCCGGGCGGCAGCUCUGCUCGCCCUCGAAGUAGAAGAGCACAUUCUGGUAGAGGGCGAACCACUUCUCGUGCCAGCGGCUCGCCUCGGCCGUCUUCUUACUCAGGAAGCCGCGCUUGGUGCCCUCCUUGCGCGCCAGAAAGGCCAGGCUCAGCUUUCUCAUCACUGAACUGGAGAUACAGGAGUUGGAGACUUGGAAUCCCCUUUGGUGCAGAAACUAUUCCUUCAUGAGAAGAAGUCCUUAAAUAGGCUCUUUAGACAGGAGGCCACAUGUUGAAGGCAGCAGGGUCACAAGAUGGAAGAACCAGGGUCCCAGUAUCAUCGCUCCCUGCUUCAAGCUGCCAGGGGCAGCCUAACCCACAUGGCAUUAUGACAUAAGAAACAAAGUAACUAUUGUUUUAUUAAAUCAAUGAGAUAUUGGGCUUCUUGUUAUAGCAACUAGUAUAAAUUGCCCUGACUGAUACAUUAUGGAUUUAGAGUGCACUGUACUACAACUGUUUGUUGUAUUUUCAAAAUUGUGGUAUAACUGACUUACAAUAAACUUCAUAUAUUUA